CAGUAGCCACGGUAAUACAGAGGGUGCGAGCGUUAAUCGGAUUUACUGGGCGUAAAGCGUGCGUAGGCGGCUAAUUGAGUCGGAUGUGAAAUCCCUGAGCUUAACUUAGGAAUUUCAUUCGAUACUGGGAAGCUAGAGUAUGGGAGAGGAUGGUAGAAUUCCAGGUGUAGCGGUGAAAUGCGUAGAGAUCUGGAGGAAUACCGAUGGCGAAGGCAGCCAUCUGGCCUAAUACUGACGCUGAGGUACGAAAGCAUGGGGAGCAAACAGGAUUAGAUACCCCUGUAGUCCCUGUCUCUUAUAU
rnacentral:rRNA from 1 species